UACAGAGGUCUCAAGCGUUGUUCGGAUUCAUUGGGCGUAAAGGGUGCGUAGGUGGCGGGGCAAGUCUGGUGUGAAAUCUCGGAGCUCAACUCCGAAACUGCACUGGAUACUGCCUUGCUCGAGUACUGGAGAGGAGAUUGGAAUUUACGGUGUAGCAGUGAAAUGCGUAGAUAUCGUAAGGAAGACCAGUGGCGAAGGCGAAUCUCUGGACAGUUACUGACGCUGAGGCACGAAGGUCAGGGGAGCAAACGGG
rnacentral:rRNA from 1 species